CAUCACUGGAUCUUGAUCAGAAGUCUUUUUUCAAGAUGGCUCAAAAAUUCGACGUUGUACCGAGGUCUGGAUUGAUUUUUGAGUUUGGAACAGCCCUACGCUGGAUUUUGCUGCUGCAACGCUGCUGGAAUCCAGUGUUAUUUUUAUCACAUUUCCCGAAGGAGGAGUUCUGGAAGCAGCAUACAUAUGUGCGGUGCCAUGGAAAUCAAAUAAACCUCACGACUGGAGAUUCCUGUUCGUCCCGUUCGUCCUCACACUGUGCAAUCUAUCGGAACUAGUCGGCCUAGGCUGAGGACAAAUGGCUAAGAUUCGGUUGAGGCAGUUGUGGACCAGAAAUAGGAAUGAUGAAGGCGAAUGCAGUAGAGGCAAGAUUGUGAAUGAACGGAGAAAGAAUACAAAAUAUAUGUGCACAUGUUAAUAAAGUGAUAUUUCUUAAGAAUGUUCAAUAAAGUUUUAUGAAGAUUUCA